ACUCCUACGGGAGGCAGCAGUGGGGAAUAUUGCACAAUGGGGGAAACCCUGAUGCAGCCAUGCCGCGUGUGUGAAGAAGGCCUUCGGUUGUAAAGCACUUUCAGUAGGGAGGAAGGUAGUGUAGUUAACACCUGCACUAUUUGACGUUACCUACAGAAGAAGCACCGGCUAACUCCGUGCCAGCAGCCGCGGUAAUACGGAGGGUGCGAGCGUUAAUCGGAAUUACUGGGCGUAAAGCGCAUGCAGGCGGCCUGUUAAGUCAGAUGUGAAAGCCCGGGGCUUAACCUCGGAAUUGCAUUUGAAACUGGCAGGCUAGAGUCUUGUAGAGGGGGGUAGAAUUUCAGGUGUAGCGGUGAAAUGCGUAGAGAUCUGAAGGAAUACCAGUGGCGAAGGCGGCCCCCUGGACAAAGACUGACGCUCAGAUGCGAAAGCGUGGGGAGCAAACAGGAUUAGAUACCCUGGUAGGAUAGCG
rnacentral:rRNA from 1 species